rnacentral:rRNA from 1 species
AUACGGAGGAUCCGAGCGUUAUCCGGAUUUAUUGGGUUUAAAGGGAGCGUAGGUGGACAGUUAAGUCAGUUGUGAAAGUUUGCGGCUCAACCGUAAAAUUGCAGUUGAUACUGGCUGUCUUGAGUACAGUAGAGGUGGGCGGAAUUCGUGGUGUAGCGGUGAAAUGCUUAGAUAUCACGAAGAACUCCGAUCGCGAAGGCAGCUCACCGGGCCGGAACUGACACUGAUGCUCGAAAGUGCGGGUAUCAAACAGGAUUAGAUACCCUGGUAGUCCACACAGUAAACGAUGAAUACUCGCUGUUUGCGAUAUACAGUAAGCGGCCAAGCGAAAGCAUUAAGUAUUCCACCUGGGGAGUACGCCGGCAACGGUGAAACUCAAAGGAAUUGACGGGG